rnacentral:rRNA from 1 species
AUUGAACGCUGGCGGCAGGCCUAACACAUGCAAGUCGAACGAGUGGCGGACGGGUGAGUAAUUUCUGGGAAACUGCCUGGUGGAGGGGGAUAACUACUGGAAACGGUAGCUAAUACCGCAUACCAUCAGAUGUGCCCAGAUGGGAUUAGCUUGUUGGUGGGGUAACGGCUCACCAAGGCGACGAUCCCUAGCUGGUCGGGGAGGAUGACCAGCAACACUGGAAAUGAGAAACGGUCCAGACUCCUACGGGAGGAAGGAGUGGGUAAAAUUGCACAAUGGGCGCAAGCCGGAUGAAGCCAUGCCGCGGGUAUGAAGAAGGCCUCCGGGUUGUAAAGUACUUGAAGCGGGGAGGCGUUACCCGCAGAAGAAGCAACGGCUAACUCCGUGCCAGGAGCCGCGGUAAUUC